rnacentral:rRNA from 1 species
AUUGAACGCUGGCGGCAGGCCUAACACAUGCAAGUCGAGCGGAUGGAGGGAGCUUGCUCCUGGAUUCAGCGGCGGACGGGUGAGUAAUGCAUAGGAAUCUGCCCGGUAGUGGGGGCUAACGUCCGGACACGGGCGCUAAUAUCGCAUACGUCCUGAGGGAGAAAGUGGGGGAUCUUCGGACCUCAAGCUAUCAGAUGAGCCUAGGUCGGAUUAGCUAGUUGGUGGGGUAAAGGCCUACCAAGGCGACGAUCCGUAACUGGUCUGAGAGGAUGAUCAGUCACACUGGAACUGAGACACGGUCCAGACUCCUACGGGAGGCAGCAGUGGGGAAUAUUGGACAAUGGGCGAAAGCCUGAUCCAGCCAUGCCGCGUGUGUGAAGAAGGUCUUCGGAUUGUAAAGCACUUUAAGUUGGGAGGAAGGGCAGUAAGUUAAUACCUUGCUGUUUUGACGUUACCAACAGAAUAAGCACCGGCUAACUUCGUG